AAGUGCAUCCUUUCCUGUCUCCUCUGGGUGGAGAGGCGGGGAUCAUCUUUAGGACUAUGGGAGGGAAGUACCAUGGGGCAGGCUAGCUCAGUGGACCCCUGUGGAUCAGGAAAUGGGCAAGGAAGGGGCAGUGCAGUGUCAGACCCUGAGCAUGGAGGAGGAAAGUACCUUCUGAAAACAUACAGUUUUUUUUUUCAUACUCAGUUGAAAAUAGACAGUAGCCAGAUCCUUCAUUGGGCAGAACUAGGGCCCAGUGCCAAUGUUAGUACAUGGUCUUGCAGAAAUCCUGAGCCUCAGUUUUUCCAUCUGAAUGUAGAAGAAACAGUGCCUACCUCUGGCCCACCUCCUGGAGGUCUUUCAUCAAGGACUGAAACAAGACUCCCCUUAAGAAUUUGAAGAUCAUUGAGCCUGGAGCUCCCAUGAAAGGAAAAGAAAGCCAAUCUCUGGGUUCUAGGGAGGGGACAUCUGCGAGAAGGUGCAUCCUCUUUAGGGGGCUGACUUUCCUCAUGUAGGUUGUGGAGCUGCACUUGGCAGGGUCUGGUAUCCUUCCAGUUCCUUCCAGUUCUGAGCUCCAACUUCCUCUAAUAAGCCACAUUGGGCCUUGCUAUAGGGAGCUUCCAGACACCUGGCUUGUUCCAGGGUGAGGGAGGAUCAAUAAUGCUGCUGCUUCAGGGGUCCUGUUCUUGAGAAGAAGCUUACAGGUGGAGCCACAGACUGUCUGUCCCAUGGUUGGACCACUGUGGAAAGAGCAUUUUCUGGUUUAACCGAAAUGAGGGAUUGUUAUUUCACCCUUCCUAAAAAUGGGAAAGCGCAUGACAAUGAUCGUUGGCCUGACCUCAAGGGAUUUCCCACUGACACCAUUCUGCUCAGCUCCACAGAACUCUGAGGCAUCUACCUCUACCUCUGCAUUGCUUGGCACCCACCUCCCUAGCAUUUGUGGACUGAAUGAGAGGGACGCCAUAGGACCACUCCUAUACAUACUUGGCACUUUGUUAUUAUUCCUAUGCAAUUGUCAUUCAUUAUUCAUCCACCUUAUGAAUGAGAUUUAUCCACUAUCUAUUUCAUGAAUAGCAUUCCCACUACCUGCUGGCUCUGUGGCCACCCACAAGGUGCUUCACCUCUUAGUCCUCAAUGUCCUCAUCUGUAAAAUGAGGCUACUAUAAUGGUACCUAUCUUGUAAUAUUGAUGGCAGGAAUAAAAUGAAAUAGUAAAUGUAUAUCAUCAUCACUGCUACUUCUGUCCUGUGUCAGGCACUGUGGAUAAAGAGGUGACUAAGAUGCUGGCUCAGUUGGUAGAGCAUGCGACUCUCGAUCCCUGGGUUGUGAGUUCAAGCCCUACGUUGGGUGUAAAAGAUUACUUUAAGAAAGAAUCUCAGAGAGAGAGAGAGAGACAGAUGACUAAGAGGCCUAAAACACCAAUCCUGCUCUCAGGGAGCACAAAAUCAGCUGCAGAAGAGCCCUCAGGUCUGGGAACACAAAGAAGAGUGCCUCCUUCCAGCGACGCUGCGUAUUUUCUUCUGACCUUAAUGGCCCCGGUUUCCCCUCAGUAUUUAAGCGGAACAAGACAGAGGUAAGUGGCAAAUAAACAGUGGUUCCUAUUUACGCUGGCAAUUUCUGUUGAUCGUGGAGAGGCUGCCUGGAAAUUAACUCUGCGGCUGUCUGCUGCGGAGGAAUGUCUGCCACGCACUGAGGGCCACCGGCUCACUGCCGCCCAUUACAGCCCCUCCCGGUUAUCCGCCUGGGUUACAAUGGAGUGGGUGGGUGGGUGUGGUCAGCUGGUGCCCCAAGGUGUUCCUUCUUUCUUUUUUUUUUUUUUAAACAGGCCCCUUCACCUUCUUGGCCUUGGCCUUUAGCCACUAGAGACCCGUGGUUGUCCCCGUGUGGUCUUGGCCAGCAGUGUCAGCGUCCUUCACCAGGGAACUUGGUAGAAAUUCAAAUUCUCCAACCAUCAUGUCCCAGAAAACUCUGGGGGUAGGAUCCAGCAAUCUGUUAUUUUUUUUUUUUUUUAACUUAUUGAGGUAUAAUUCACAUACCAUAAAGUUUACCUGUUUUAAGCAUACUGUUCGAUGACUUUUUAAUAAGUUUAUUGAGUUAGGCAACAAUCCUCUGAACCCAGUUGUAGAACAUUUCUAUAACCCCACUAAAAUCCCUAGUGUCUGUUUACAGUUAAUCCCUUACCCACCCCAGCCCUAGGCAACCACUAAUCUACUUUGUGUCUCCAUAGAUUUGUUCUGGAGGAUCUUUUGAAUCUGGCUUCUUUUACUUAGCAUAAUGUUUUGUUAAUUGUUAACAGCUUUAUUGAGAUAUAAUCCACAUUACCAUACAACUCAUCCAUUUAAAGUGUACAAUUCAAUGGCUUUUUAGUACAUUCACAGUUGUGCAACCAUCACCGCUAUCAAUUUUAGAACAUUUUCGUUACCCCAAAAAGAAGCCCCAUACUCCUUAGUUGUCACCUCCAAAUCCCCCCAUCCCUUCACCCAAGGCAAUCGGUAAUCUACUUUCUGUUUCUAAUACAUUUGUCUAUUUUAUAUAAAUAGAAUCAUAUAAAACGUG